AGCGAACGCUGGCGGCAUGCCUAACACAUGCAAGUCGAACGAGACCUUCGGGUCUAGUGGCGCACGGGUGCGUAACGCGUGGGAACCUGCCCUUAGGUUCGGAAUAACUCCCCGAAAGGGGUGCUAAUACCGGAUCAUGUCUUCGGACCAAAGAUUUAUCGCCUAUGGAUGGGCCCGCGUUGGAUUAGCUAGUUGGUAGGGUAAAAGCCUACCAAGGCGACGAUCCAUAGCUGGUCUGAGAUGAUGAUCAGCCACACUGGGACUGAGACACGGCCCAGACUCCUACGGGCGGCAGCAGUGGGGAAUAUUGAACCAUGUGCGAAAGCCUGAUCCAGCAAUGCCGCGUGAGUGAUGAAGGCCUUAGGGUUGUAAAGCUCUUUUACCCGGGAUGAUAAUGACAGUACCGGGAGAAUAAGCGCCGGCUAACUCCGUG
rnacentral:rRNA from 1 species